GACGAACGCUGGCGGCGUGCUUAACACAUGCAAGUCGAACGGGCCCGCUCUCUUUUUUGGGGGUGGGUUGAGUGGCGAACGGGUGAGUAUCACGUGAGUAACCUGCCCCCUGCUCCUGGAUAACUGCUUGAAAGGGCGGCUAAUACGGGGUGUGCCGGCUGGUCCGCAUGGGCCUGGUCGGGAUAGUUUCAUCUUCGGGUGUUUCGGUGGGGGAUGGGCUCGCGGCCUAUCAGCUUGUUGGUGGGGUGAUGGCCCACCAAGGCGAUGACGGGUAGCCGGCCUGAGAGGGUGGGCGGCCACACUGGGACUGAGACACGGCCCAGACUCCUGCGGGAGGCAGCAGUGGGGGGUAUUGCACAAUGGGCGGAAGCCUGAUGCAGCGACGUCGCGUGAGGGAUGGAGGCCUUCGGGUUGUGAACCUCUUUCUCCGGUGGUGAAGGCCCUGUCCGUUGCGGCGGGGUUGACGGUAGCCGGGUAUGAAGCGCCGGCUAACUACGUG
rnacentral:rRNA from 1 species